GACAGAGGUGCCGAGCGUUAGGCGGAAUCACUGGGCUUAAAGCGUGUGUAGGCGGAGGCCUAAGUACCUUGUGAAAUCCCCCGGCUCAACCGGGGAACCGCUGGGUAUACUGGGCCUCUGGAGCCACCCAGGGGCAAGCGGAACAAACGGUGGAGCGGUGAAAUGCGUAGAUAUCGUUUGGAACGCCAAUGGUGAAAACAGCUUGCUGGGGGUGCGCUGACGCUGAGACACGAAAGCCAGGGGAGCAAACGGG
rnacentral:rRNA from 1 species